CGUGACGGCGCGAGCAGGUGCGAAAGCAGGUCAUAGUGAUCCGGUGGUUCUGAAUGGAAGGGCCAUCGCUCAACGGAUAAAAGGUACUCCGGGGAUAACAGGCUGAUACCGCCCAAGAGUUCAUAUCGACGGCGGUGUUUGGCACCUCGAUGUCGGCUCAUCACAUCCUGGGGCUGAAGUAGGUCCCAAGGGUAUGGCUGUUCGCCAUUUAAAGUGGUACGCGAGCUGGGUUUAGAACGUCGUGAGACAGUUCGGUCCCUAUCUGCCGUGGGCGCUGGAGAACUGAGGGGGGCUGCUCCUAGUACGAGAGGACCGGAGUGGACGCAUCACUGGUGUUCGGGUUGUCAUGCCAAUGGCACUGCCCGGUAGCUAAAUGCGGAAGAGAUAAGUGCUGAAAGCAUCUAAGCACGAAACUUGCCCCGAGAUGAGUUCUCCCUGACCCUUUAAGGGUCCUGAAGGAACGUUGAAGACGACGACGUUGAUAGGCCGGGUGUGUAAGCGCAGCGAUG
rnacentral:rRNA from 1 species